rnacentral:rRNA from 1 species
CUCCAUGUGUAGCGGUGGAAUGCGUAGAUAUAUGGAAGAACACCAGUGGCGAAGGCGGCUCUCUGGUCUGUAACUGACGCUGAGGCUCGAAAGCAUGGGUAGCGAACAGGAUUAGAUACCCUGGUAGUCCAUGCCGUAAACGAUGAGUGCUAAGUGUUGGGAGGUUUCCGCCUCUCAGUGCUGCAGCUAACGCAUUAAGCACUCCGCCUGGGGAGUACGACCGCAAGGUUGAAACUCAAAGGAAUUGACCGGGCCCCGCACAAGCGGUGGAGCAUGUGGUUUAAUUCGAAGCAACGCGAAGAACCUUACCAGGUCUUGACAUCUAGUGCAAUCUGUAGAGAUACGGAGUUCCCUUCGGGGACGCUAAGAC